UACGGAGGGUGCAAGCGUUAUCCGGAUUUACUGGGUUUUAAGGGUGCGUAGGUGGGUAGGUAAGUCAGUGGUGAAAUCUUCGAGCUUAACUCGGAAACUGCCAUUGAUACUAUUUAUCUUGAAUACUUUGGAGGUAAGCGGAAUAUGUCAUGUAGCGGUGAAAUGCUUAGAUAUGACAUAGAACACCAAUUGCGAAGGCAGCUUACUACACAGUUAUUGACACUGAGGCACGAAAGCGUGGGGAUCAAACAGG
rnacentral:rRNA from 1 species